CUAGAGGUUUAUUUUAAUGAAACCGCCUGCAAAUGUUAAAUAUAUCCCGCUCGCUGAUUUGUGCUUCCUUCAAUUAAGUUCUUCAUUUCACAGGCUUUUCUUGCUGCAUUUGUGUUUCUUCUUCAGUUAAGUUCUUCUUCAUUUCACAAGCUCUUCUUCCUUUCACAGGUCUUUCUUCUUCAUUUCAUUUAUGGAAAUUGAUUGGUAAUUUACCCUACGCCCUUCGUCCUUCGUUACUGAGUGUGCGUCGUUCGCCCCGUGCCUCGUCAUUGUCGCUUGAAUUUCCAGAAAUCGUUGAGUGUGGGCGUCUUCGUUCGUUGCCUGUAAGAACAAAAUCGUUGAGCAAUGCAAGGAGGGAGCGAGGAUCGGAUGUGCCGUCAGCGCUUCCAGGAACUGUAAGCCUACGUGGUGGAAGGCUCUGGCAGGCCUCACACUUCACGAUCUGAAGGAACGGGAGGAGUGCGAAGUGCAGGAUAGGGCGGAUUGUUUCGCCGUGGCUAAGGAGAAAUGUACAGGCUUCGCCAGGGAUAAGUGUUUGGUUCCCUUUAGGGAUGCAAGGAUUUGGGUUGCGAAAGGGGUUUUGAGUUCCAAGGGUGUUGGGAAGUUGAUUUGUUGGGGAUCGGUGCCUGUGAAUGGGAGGAACAUGUGGUUGAUGAAUCAAGGUUUGGGAAAAAAAUGUUUCUAUCAAGAGGAUUCUAUCAAGGUUCAUCAACAGAUACCAAUAUACGGUGAAGUUGAGAAACGAUAUAUUCAUGAUCCAUUACUUCCUUAGGCCACUAUUAUCAUGGGAGCUAGUUUUGUCUAAAAUUUUUGUCCCCCAUGGAAUGGCAUGUAGCACCUAGAAACACCACUGGCUUUUCUUUGUCCUUAUGGAAAAAUGCUUGGAAUGCUUUGGAUGUUGUCGGUGUUGGAGACAUCCUCCGCCGCUACCAUCAACAGCUCCAUGGGAUUGUCACCACUUCAUUGGUUACAGGGAAACAAAUAGAAGUCAAGUCUUUCAAACCAACAGAAAACCAAGAGUAUGUAUACUGUGAGAUCCCUACAUUUUAUUAUAGAUAUCUUUAUUCUUUCACAAGUGAUGUAUAAUCAAUUAGUAAGAAUUUAUUUUAAGCAAUCUUGUAGUAUAGAAAAGUAUUCAAUCAACAACAUGUUGAGCCUAGGGUAAGGAGGGUGGCAUUGAAUCGUGGUGUUGAGUACUUGGAGCAGGACUUUCGUUUAAUUGCUUUUGCAGCAUAUCUUGGAAGUGAAGCAUUUGAUGGAUUUUGUGGACAAGGAGAAUCGAGAAUGACAUUUAAGGUUUGGUUGCAUCAAAGGCCAGAGGUGCAGGCUAUGAAAUGAAGCAUCAGAUUAAGACCAGGGAGUUUUUUCACUGUCCCUAGAAGUAUUUUUCAACCUUUCUAUUUGCAAUAUUACAUUCCCUAAUUUGAAGCAUGAUUUAUUCAAGAAUGUCAAUUAUAUUGUAGGAGGAGUUGAGAGCCACAAGAGUCUCAACAUGGAGACGCUGUGAUGGAAGCCAUUGUCAAGGCAAGAAAUUGUUCUGUUUUGGGGAAAGGCUCCAUUUUGAAAAUGUAUUUCUUUCCUGGUCAGAGAACUUCCAGUCAUAUACAAAUUCAUGGCGCACCUCAUGUUUUCAAGGUUGAUGAAUACCCUGUGUAUUGCAUGGCAA